rnacentral:misc_RNA from 1 species
UUUCCGCAGGUGAACCUGCGGAAGGAUCAUUAUUGUAUAACCGAGGUGCGAGGGCUGUCGCUGACCCGAAAGGUCGUGCACGCCCGAGUGCCCUCACACACAUCCAUCUCACCCCUAUGUGCACCACCGCGUGGGUCCCCCUUUGGCUUGUUCGGAGGGGGGCUUACGUUUUCACACAAACUUUGUAUGCAGUGUAGAAUGUAUUUUUUGUUUUUGCGAUCACGCAAUCAAUACAACUUUCAACAACGGAUCUCUUGGCUCUC